rnacentral:tRNA from 2 species
GGGCCCAUAGCUCAGUUGGUUAGAGCCACCGGCUCAUAACCGGAAGGUCGGAGGUUCGAAUCCUCCUGGGCCCACCA